GAUGAAGAACGUGGCGAAAUGCGAUAAGUAGUGUGAAUUGCAGAAUUCAGUGAAUCAUCGAAUCUUUGAACGCACAUUGCGCCCCAUGGUAUUCCGUGGGGCAUGCCUGUUCGAGCGUCAUUUACCCCCUCAAGCUCCGCUUGGUGUUGGGCGUCUGUCCCGCUUCGCGCGCGGACUCGCCCCAAAGGUAUUGGCAGCGGUCGUGCCAGCUUCUCGCGCAGCACAUUGCGCUUCUCGAGGCACCGGUGGGCCCGCGUCCAUCAAGCUCACCCCCCCAGUUUGACCUCGGAUCAGGUAGGGAUACCCGCUGAACUUAAGCAUAUCAAUAAGCGGAGGA
rnacentral:misc_RNA from 1 species